ensembl:lncRNA ATP13A3-DT ATP13A3 divergent transcript
ACCCUCGAACGGGCAAAAGAAAGAAAGAGGCAGGUAAGGGGAGGCGAGGCCGUCCAAAAACGCUGGGUGUCAGCCCGGGGUGGCUAAUGGAGGGCGGCUUUUCUGGUGGGAUGAAAUGGAACGGCAAAUCCCACUUCAUCCCCUUUGGGCUAUGACAACAUCAUAGUCCAAUCUCCCAUUUUAUGAACAGGGAAACUGAGGCUCAGUGACUAGACAGACGUUGCCCAGAGUCAUGGUCAUGGAGGAAGCUUGUGCUAGAAUGGUGGAGAGGAAACCAGAGCCCAGCUCCUAAUGCAAGGCUCUUUCAUUCCUUUAGCCACCCUCGCCCCCGCCAAAACAAACAGACAAAAAACUGUCAUUCUCAUAUGACCACGGACUCUGCGCCCCGGCCGCAGGCGGAGGACAGGGAGGAGCGCACACGAGAAAGCUCCCACGCGCCCGCGCCUCGCCUCCGACGGGAAGGCGCCUCUUCCGACCGUCCUGGAUGCAAAUUAAAUACUUCCCUCCGCAGAAGACUUAUCUCGGGGUAGGGCCGCAGCCGGAUUUCCAAAUCGCGGGUUUGAUUUUCGCUGCGUCCUCUCCGCGACGCGCGCAGGGAGCGCGCCCGGCCACCUGCAGCCUCUGGCUGCGGCCAUCUUUCCGCCUGGGGCCACCUGGCCUGCGCCCUUUGUGCCCGGCCCGCUCCGUGACUGUUCUUCUUGCCGCUACUUACAGAACUCAGCCGCCUUAGCGUCUUAGAGAAGAGGACGGCAUGCAUGCGGACCCCGUCCACCACACCUGGAGAGCAGGGAGCCCUUAGUCCCUGGACACUUACCAGGGCCGCCACCCCUGGUCCACGCACGUGAUGACAUCUCACCAGGGGCAGCACACCGCCCGAGUCCGCGACACUGAUAACACCUCCUGCGGGCAGGAGGGCGCCACAGCCACCCCUGGUCCCCUAGAUUGUGUGAGGCUAGCAUUUCUGCCCGCCUCUUGGCGUGGACAGCACGCUGGACCGAGAUGGAACCACAGCUUUCUCUUCCCAAUCCCUGGCCUCACCGUUUUGUUUCAUACCUCACCGUUUGUUUCAAACCUCGUGGUGUUGAAAUGAUUAAAUGAGAUUAAGGGGUGUGUGGUAGUGUUGGGCAAACCACAAGAAAACGGUCUGGGUGGGGUCUGGCCCUAAAAUCUUCCUCCCCCACCUCCCAGGCUUCCUUGCCUUGCUGCUUCCUCUCAGCCUUUAAACAGGUUGGCCUCUCCAAGUCCUAAAAACAAAAUUAUCAAGCCAACCUCCUCCUGAAGUGCUCCCUCCAACUAGCUUCCAAGUGUUUCAUGCGGACCUCAAACAAUGGUCUUCCCUGGCUGCCUCUGCUUCCUCAUUUCUCAACACUUGGCAUUCUGGCUUCUCCUCCCCAACUCUAACCCUUCACCUUGCUCAGGCAAGAGCAACUCAUGACUUUCAUUUUGCCAAACCUUGCAGGCAUUCCUCAGGCCUUAUCUCUCUGGUUCUUUCUGCUACAUUUGACACCUUGGGAUGACUCUCACCUUCUGGAAUCUCUCUACUACCUUGGUUUCAGAAGAGUGAACCCUCUGGAUUAUCACAUGAAGCUACUUCCUGUGAGCAGCCCAGGGAUGGCCAGUCACUUGUGACCUACUUUCAGAGCUGGCAGUUCUGACUUCUAGAACAAACUCGGAACAAGCCCAUCUACAGCUGGUUGACUGAGUUUCCUUUGGGCUCCUGGCACCAGAAAGAAUUGCUCACUGGAAGGAUCAUAGGUGGCACUCAUGUCUCACUGCCCCACUCAGCUUGCCUGUGUGGACUCCUGCCUGCUCUCUGUGCCAGGAUCCCGUGACAUGAAACAGAAUAAGUGCUUCAUAAACGGGAGUGACACUAGGCGUGGUGGCAUGCAUCUGGAGUCCUAGCUACGCGGGAGGCUGAGGCAGGAGGAUUGCCUGAGCCUAGGAGUUGGAGGCUCUAAUGCACUUGGAUAGCACCUAUGAAUAGCCAGUGCCCUCCAACCUGGGCAACAUAGUGAGCUCUUGUCACC